GAUGAACGCUGGCGGCGUGCCUAAUACAUGCAAGUCGAGCGAACAGACGAGGAGCUUGCUCCUCUGACGUUAGCGGCGGACGGGUGAGUAACACGUGGAUAACCUACCUAUAAGACUGGGAUAACUUCGGGAAACCGGAGCUAAUACCGGAUAACAUGUUGAACCGCAUGGUUCAACAGUGAAAGACGGUCUUGCUGUCACUUCUAGAUGGAUCCGCGCCGCAUUAGCUGGUUGGUAAGGUAACGGCUUACCAAGGCAACGAUGCGUAGCCGACCUGAGAGGGUGAUCGGCCACACUGGAACUGAGACACGGUCCAGGCUCCUACGGGAGGCAGCAGUAGGGUAUCUUCCGCAAUGGGCGGGAGCCUGACGGAGCGGCGCCGCGUGAGUGAAGAAGGUCUUCGGAUCGUAAAACUCUGUUAUUAGGGAAGAACAAAUGUGUAAGUAACUAUGCACGUCUUGACGGUACCUAAUCAGAAAGCCACGGCUAACUACGUG
rnacentral:rRNA from 1 species